rnacentral:rRNA from 1 species
UACAGAGGUGCCGAGCGUUAGGCGGAAUCACUGGGCUUAAAGCGUGUGUAGGCGGACUUCUAAGUACCUUGUGAAAUCCCACGGCUCACCCGUGGAACUGCUGGGUAUACUGGUCGUCUUGAGCCACCUAGGGGCGAGCGGAACAAAUGGUGGAGCGGUGAAAUGCGUAGAUAUUCGCAAGAACACCAGUGGCGAAGGCGGCUCACUGGCCCGAUACUGACGCUGAGGCACGAAAGCGUGGGGAGCAAACAGG